ensembl:lncRNA
GCGGGGAAGGCACAGCUGCAGGCGAACGCCCAGGCCUGCGGCUCACACUGGGUUUUAACAACCAAGCCUGAACCCGACAGCCCGCGCUGGCGCUGCCGUGACGCGUGGCACCAGGCGCAGGACGACUAGCCCGCCGGUUUCCUGGACGCGCGAGGUGGCCGGAGCGGACGCGCACGAGGGUGGAGUGGGCGCGCGGCACAGCCCUGUGAGAUCCAGCCCUUCCUGCAGCGGGGACCCUGUGAGCUUCAGAGCCUCAAGUGCAAACCCGCAGGACACGAAUCGGCAGAUUUAAGUCACCCCCAAAAUGCUCCGACCUGAUCGUCCCCUCCUCAUCCUCCUCCCCAAGAAAGCUUAAUUUUAAAGGUGAUUUCAUCUCCAGCUUGCCGAGACAACGUAACUCAUUAGCUUAUACAGCUUUCUAGUACCCCUCGGAAUGAUCUUUAAAUGAAUGCAGAACUGCAUAGCUUGCCAAUAGAAUCGAAUUCAACGCGGCCAGGCAGACUGGACUCCGAGAGGUAGCUAAAGAAAGCAACACCAGAAAACUUGCACCAUAUUUAGCAGUUUUACUACAGCGGGAUACAGAAACGGCCCUGGAGGAGCGCGGCUGGAAGCCACUCGGAGCCUCGUUAGCGUCUGGCCCCAGCUCCAGCCCCAGCCCCACUGCUGUGGGACGAGAGGCUGGCUGGACUAGACACACAGUGUCCUUGGGCAAAGCAGAGGAGGGUGUCAGGAUCGCAGAGUGUCCAAGAAUCACAAGCAAUAAUGUGCGAAUCCCAAAGAUGUUUGUUUACCUUGGCUAUUAUUGUAGAAUAGUCAGAGUAUAACAUCAUGAACCAAAACAAUGUCAAAACAAAAUCUGUUCUGCUGUGGCACGUAUGUGACAGAGAAACAUGCACCCAAAGUACAUCAAAAGGCUCGAACUCUGGGGACUCGGAUGGUGAGUCAUUCCCAGGCUUGAUAUCAGAGGCCACCUCAAUCAUCAGACUUUAUCGAGAAGCCAGGGCCCAGGGAAGGUCUUGGUGGCCGAGCCCUCAGCCUUCCUCCAAGCUCAAGCAUCUGGGCUUUAUGGAGUGACACCCACUUCAGUGCCACAGCUGCCUCCCAGAGAAAGCCCAGGGCACUUGGCUGUCACACCGAGGUCAGCCUGGCCCACCACGGAGGACUUAAUCAUUAAUUGAAGGAAAAAGUACUGUUUCACCCCCUAGGGCUUUUUUUUCCAUCUCUGGCCUUCUUCCUGUCUUAAAUACAAAGGACGUGGAGAUGGAGAAAAAAGCAAGGUACUAAGAUGACGUUUUCCAGGGUUCUCUAGUUUGUUUUCCACUAUGAUUUUUAUAUGACCUCAGUAGGAUUUUUUUUCCCCAAGCACACCAGUAAAUACACUGUGGUCUUCAGUUGAGCAGGACUUCCAUGUGAAUUAAAGUAUUUGAGUCAGGAGCUGGAAACUUAUUUAGAUCGGAAGGAUGAGUUCUCAGGACUGACAGCAGAACAAAUCCUGAAGUUGCCUCCACUACCUGUGUUGAACAGCUUCCAAAUCUUAUACAUAACAAAAUAUUCUUUAAAUAAAGUGUUAAGGUGUCGAUGAAUGGAUAGAGCUUCUGAAACACAGUAGGUGGUGGAAUGUGAAGCCAGAAAUCAGGAUUGUGCAUAAUUAACGCACAAACCCAAGGCUCUGGGCAGUGUGGAAAGGGGCUUCUGAGAGCUCUCCUCGCGAUUUCCAUGCACAGGAUCGGCCUGGCCGCCUGGCCAGGUUCCUGAAGAGAGCGCCCUCCCCGGGCUCCUCAGCGGUCAGGGUGGGCCCGGAUUCCCAGUGCAGUCAUCUUACUGAUUUGCCAAUAAUGCCUCCUGCUCUGCAC